GAUGAACGCUGGCUACAGGCUUAACACAUGCAAGUCGAGGGGAAACGCCGGGGAAGCUUGCUUCCCCGGGCGUCGACCGGCGCACGGGUGAGUAACGCGUAUCCAACCUGCCUCUGACUGAGGGAUAACCCGUCGAAAGUCGGCCUAAUACCUCAUGGCAUCGUCUGCGGGCAUCCAACGACGAUUAAAGAUUUCAUCGGUCAGAGAUGGGGAUGCGUCUGAUUAGCUUGUUGGCGGGGUAACGGCCCACCAAGGCGACGAUCAGUAGGGGUUCUGAGAGGAAGGUCCCCCACAUUGGAACUGAGACACGGUCCAAACUCCGACGGGAGGCAGCAGUGAGGAAUAUUAGUCAAUGGGCGAGAGCCUGAACCAGCCAAGUAGCGUGCAGGAUGACGGCCCUAUGGGUUGUAAACUGCUUUUAUGCGGGGAUAAAGUGAGGGACGUGUCCUUCACUGCAGGUACCGCAUGAAUAAGGACCGGCUAAUUCCGUG
rnacentral:rRNA from 1 species